CGAGAGGGGGCAAGCGUUGUUCGGAAUUACUGGGCGUAAAGGGCGCGUAGGCGGCCUGUUAAGUCGAACGUGAAAUCCCCGGGCUCAACCCGGGAACUGCGUCCGAUACUGGCAGGCUUGAAUCCGGGAGAGGGAUGUGGAAUUCCAGGUGUAGCGGUGAAAUGCGUAGAUAUCUGGAGGAACACCGGUGGCGAAGGCGGCAUCCUGGACCGGUAUUGACGCUGAGGCGCGAAAGCCAGGGGAGCAAACGGGAUUAGAUACCCCGGUAGUCCUGGCCCUAAACGAUGAAUGCUUGGUGUGGCGGGUAUCGAUCCCUGCCGUGCCGAAGCUAACGCAUUAAGCAUUCCGCCUGGGGAGUACGGUCGCAAGGCUG
rnacentral:rRNA from 1 species